rnacentral:rRNA from 1 species
UGGGGAAUAUUGCACAAUGGAGGGAACUCUGAUCCAGCGACGCCGCGUGGGUGAGGAAGGAAUUCGUUUCGUAAAACUCUGUUCUAGGGGAAGAAAAGGACUGUACCAUAGGAGAAAGCUCCGGCUAAAUACGUGCCAGCAGCCGCGGUAAUACGUAUGGAGCGAGCGUUGCCCGGAAUUAUUGGGCGUAAAGGGUGCGCAGGCGGCCUUACAAGUUGGAUGUGAAAUUUUGUGGCUCAACCACAAACGUGCAUCCAAACCGGGAAAGCUUGAGUUACGGAGAGGUGAGUGGAAUUCCUGGUGUUGCGGUGGAAUGCGUAGAUAUCAGGGAGAAAACCGGUGGCGAAGGCAACCUACUGGACUGAAACUGAAGCUCAGGCACGAAAGCGUGGGGAGCAAACAGG